UGGGGAAUUUUGCGCAAUGGGGGCAACCCUGACGCAGCAACGCCGCGUGCGGGACGACGGCCUUCGGGUUGUAAACCGCUUUCAGCAGGGAAGAAAUUCGACGGUACCUGCAGAAGAAGCUCCGGCUAACUACGUGCCAGCAGCCGCGGUAAUACGUAGGGAGCGAGCGUUAUCCGGAUUCAUUGGGCGUAAAGAGCGCGUAGGCGGCCUCUCAAUCGGGAUCUCUAAUCCGAGGGCUCAACCCCCGGCCGGAUCCCGAACUGGGAGGCUCGAGUGCGGUAGAGGCAGGCGGAAUUCCCGGUGUAGCGGUGGAAUGCGCAGAUAUCGGGAAGAACACCGAUGGCGAAGGCAGCCUGCUGGGCCGCAACUGACGCUGAGGCGCGAAAGCUAGGGGAGCGAACAGG
rnacentral:rRNA from 1 species